AUUGAACGCUGGCGGCAGGCCUAACACAUGCAAGUCGAACGGUAACAGGAAGCAGCUUGCUGCUUCGCUGACGAGCGGCGGACGGGUGAGUAAUGUCUGGGAAACUGCCUGAUGGAGGGGGAUAACUACUGGAAACGGUAGCUAAUACCGCAUAACGUCGCAAGACCAAAGAGGGGGACCUUAGGGCCUCUUGCCAUCGGAUGUGCCCAGAUGGGAUUAGCUAGUAGGUGGGGUAACGGCUCACCUAGGCGACGAUCCCUAGCUGGUCUGAGAGGAUGACCAGCCACACUGGAACUGAGACACGGUCCAGACUCCUACGGGAGGCAGCAGUGGGGAAUAUUGCACAAUGGGCGCAAGCCUGAUGCAGCCAUGCCGCGUGUAUGGAGAAGGCCUUCGGGUUGUAAAGUACUUUCAGCGGGGAGGAAGGGAGUAAAGUUAAUACCUUUGCUCAUUGACGUUACCCGCAGAAGAAGCACCGGCUAACUCCGUG
rnacentral:rRNA from 1 species